rnacentral:tRNA from 1 species
GGAGGUUUAGCUCAGCGGCAUAAGCGCCUGCCUUGUAAGCAGGCAAUCGCCAGUUCGAUCCCUGGUACCA